rnacentral:snRNA from 1 species
GGAUGUGAGGGCGAUCUGGCUGCGACAUCUGUCACCCCAUUGAUCGCCAGGGUUGAUUCGGCUGAUCUGGCUGGCUAGGCGGGUGUCCCCUUCCUCCCUCACCGCUCCAUGUGCGUCCCUCCCGAAGCUGCACGCUCGGUCGAAGAGGACGGCCUUCCCCAAAUAGAGACGGACCAGUCUUCGGUCGAGGGUAUACGAGUAGCUGCGCUCCCCCGCUAGAACCUCCAAACAAGCUCUCAAGAAGUCUUUGGAGGUGGACGAUGAAGAUGUUGCUAUCUUAAUUGCAGCAGUAGUUUCACGGCCAUGCAAGAAGUAAAGAAAGAAACUCUAAGCU